rnacentral:rRNA from 1 species
GAUGAACGCUGGCGGCGUGCCUAAUACAUGCAAGUCGAGCGAACGGACGAGAAGCUUGCUUCUCUGAUGUUAGCGGCGGACGGGUGAGUAACACGUGGAUAACCUACCUAUAAGACUGGGAUAACUUCGGGAAACCGGAGCUAAUACCGGAUAAUAUUUUGAACCGCAUGGUUCAAAAGUGAAAGACGGUCUUGCUGUCACUUAUAGAUGGAUCCGCGCUGCAUUAGCUAGUUGGUAAGGUAACGGCCUACCAAGGCAACGAUGCAUAGCCGACCUGAGAGGAUGAUCGGCCACACUGGAACUGAGACACGGUCCAGACUCCUACGGGAGGCAGCAGUAGGGAAUCUUCCGCAAUGGGCGAAAGCCUGACGCAGCAACGCCGCGUGAGUGAUGAAGGUCUUCGGAUCGUAAAGCUCUGUUAUUAGGGAAGAACAUAUGUGUAAGUAACUGUGCACAUCUUGACGGUACCUAAUCAGAAAGCCACGGCUAACUACGUG